GGGUGUUUGGGCAGUUGGGUGAUCAGGUACUAACCGGAAAGUGGGGAAUUCAGCGCUCUACCUGCCCAAUAAAUGAGUCAAGCGCUGAAUGUGGGGCAUAUGCCCUGAAAUUUAUUCAGUUCGACUGACCAACAGCCCGAUGGACAGCUUGAAUGACGAAACAAUGAUAGAAUGUCGGGAGCGCUGGGCUGUCGACUGCUUCCAUGGGCAGAUGGAUCCGUUUUGAGUGACCAGAACCCAAUCAAAGGGUCACUAAGAUGGAAUGGUCAAUCUCCACAGAAAGUCAACCGAGGCACCAUAUUAGCCGCCCUUGUAGAUAUCAUCUUGAAUUUGUUG